rnacentral:lncRNA from 1 species
UGCAGGCACCGGCUGUCCUUGGCCAGCAGCAUCAGGUUGUACUUGCGAGGCAUCUCGUACACGAACACCUUCAGCUUCCCCACCGGGUUGUCGUCAAGCACGCCGCCGGCGGCCCCUGCUCACAUCGUUCGUUCAUUCAGGUUAGUAAAUCGUCUCGCAUGCAGUUCUUUCUACACAAGUACUGUUUGAAUGUUAAGCUUUUAUAACAUGCUGUAAUGAUUUGAACUGUCUUGAGCAAUGCAAUGAUCAGGGAAUUCGCCCUAGUACCCUACAUACUCUGAAAAGGUUCUUUCUUCAGGAAUAAACGAAUUCAUGUAGCUGAUAUUAUCAAUAUUCAAUGCACUGUGCUAAAAUAUGCAGAGUGGUCAGAUCUUUACAGAACAAGUUUCAGUACUAACAGGGUUUCAGAUUUCAGAAAAGGCAAACACAGAGAUGUUUCAGUUAAUGAUGCAAGAAAUCACUAGUGAUGGGUACAAUUGUUGGUGGAGUCGUUGCUUUCGGCAGUCCACCAACCACGAAAUUUGAACUUUAAUCAAUAAAAUACCGAUCCCUUUCAAGUGGUCUCUACUUUAACGAUACGUUGUUCUUAUCCCUUUCUUUAUCGGUACUAAUCUGGUCGUUAGCAUGUCCGGUUCAAGGGAAAAAAAAUCGUUUGAAAGCGCCAGUGGUCAGUUGAGUGAGUGGAUGGCCACCGCUCGAUCUAGCUGCCACUUAUCCUUUCUUUAUAGUUAUACCACUUCAAGCUCUUGCAUAGUUGCAUUGCAGGCCCUAAAAUGCAGCUAAUUAAAUUAAACCCAAUCUUGCUGGUGCCGCGCCACACUACAGUAGUCCUCCCCGCAAGAGAUGCCUAUUCUGGAAGCUGUUGCUUCGUGGACGCGUGACUGCGAAGAAGAUGGUACAGAGCUAGAGAUCUGAACCAUCAUCCACACUGAUGAUGAUGCGAUGCAAUGUAGGAUCAGGGAAGCUACGAAGCAAAGCAAUGAAGCAUGAUGCAAUGCAAUGGCCGCUUCAAAACAACUGAUGCAAUGCAAUGGUUUAAGCUUCACUUCAGCAACCAAUUAAUCUGUUGCAGAAAGCAAUGCUAAGCAAGCACUGCUUGAUCCAUUGCAGACGCAGGCAUUUUACUCCUACAGUAAUGCUAGUGGUUACUAGUUGCUGGCUUGCUGCUACCAGAGCAGGUACAGCUCUGUACAGUUGGUGUGAGGGCAGCGGCCACAUGGUGGAUCACAGGGGCGCGAGCCGCACACGGCAGCCGGUUAGAGACAGCCACCACGAUUGAUUGAUCCCAGAAGAGGCUGUUGAUUCCCAGCUGCGUGCGCGGCGGUGGAAGCCAGAGCCAAGCGGCGUCCGCCGGGGGUAGGGAGGGACCAUCGGAAUGCGGUGGCAGCGAGCACGAAACCCGGAUCAAAAUCGAAGCGUGAGCUGUCGGGCGCACGGAUCACAACCUCACAGGGCGGCGAGCCGCGAGCCAGCGCAACCAAUUCCGUCCAAACCAGGCAGCGGCGGCGGCGGCAUUGCAGUUUGGAGGCGGCGGGACUGCCAAAUCUGAAUCUCGAGGGGGGCACCCUCGCGCGCCCGCCGGCCGCGAGCGAAUUCAAAAUCUAGGAGGAGGAUGCGAAGCGGGCGGCGCGUACCUGAGAUCCUUGCGCGCUCGUGCUGCUGCCGCUGCGGCGGCGCCGCCGCGGCGACGCAGGAGACGACGAGCAGAACCGCGGCGGCCGCCGCCGCGGCGGGCCACGGCCUCCGGUCCCGCCCCAUUGGCCUUGAUCCUGCCGCGGGCGCCGCCCCGGAGUUGACCGAAUCAAGCAGCUAGCGGCUAACGCUCUCCCCUCCUGCUCGUGCUGCCGCUGCGGCCGUGCGUGUGGAGCUCGAGCGCCGGGCGGCAGCGAAGUGGUGCCGGGAUACUUGUCGCUGGGGAGCGCUUUGUCGUCGUCCUCCGCUGUGCCUGUGCUGGUAGGCUGUCGUUGUCAGGCCCCGAUGGCGCGGCCCGUGGAGGGGAGGGGGAGUAGUAGAAUAGGAGGUGAGGAGGCGGGGUAGUCAAGGUCGCGGCGACGGCGAGCCAAUGGAGGGGGUGCAGCUGCGGAAUUGGAAGCGGAAUCUGCUGCUGGUGCUCUCGCACGCACGCAGGCACGCAGGGAGAGAGCGAGCUGGCGGGGGAGGAAGAGGAGAAAAGAAAAAGGAAAAGGAGGAGAGGGUGCAGCGCAGCAGCUACAUGGCUCGCACGCGGCGGGUGGCGUAAUACGAAAACAAGGGGGGCGCGGGGCGACCCGACCGACCGGGUCCGCGUCCGAGGCCAAACCAAUUGCUUCUUGCAAAGGCUUAUCGGCUCGGCAUGUGCUCGUGCUACGCAGUUGCUAGGAGCAGCAGGCAGGCCCAACUUGCGUCGCUAAUCAUGUGGCCAGGGCCAGGCUUGAGUAACCAAGUCACCCUACGCACCUGCGCUAAUCAUGUUUGCUUGCUACAGCGAUGCAGCCUCCUUUUGGGUACCGUUCCUGCUGUAUUUUUUUAAUUGUAAAGUCUGAUGAAUAAAAGCGAUAAUGUUAGAGAUGGGCUAACAAUUUUUUUUUAUACGUUCGUAGAAAUGAGCUGCACGCGUUGGAGCUGGACACACGACGCCCCUCGAGAGCCAAACCUUUGCUGUAAACACGAAUCAGUGCAGCAAACCCUUGGCUCCCUGAGUAAUCGAGUCAGCAGCCAGCACAGGCUACGGC